GUGACAUAUAAAACCAUACAACAUGUUUCAUGGAAAAUCACACGCUCUCAACAUCUAGCAGAAUGUGGUCUAUAAUAUUAAAUUAAUCACAAGUUAUUAGUUCCCAGACUAAUAUGGAACAUUCUUGGGAAGGUUUCUAAUAACAUUAUUCUUCAACCCAAUUUUGGUACGCAUGGUCUCCACACCUGAUCGAUUCAUUUCCUUCAUCACUUUCAUCCUCACUAUCUGCUCUUUUGACUGCAAAGUGGCCAAUCCCAUGCUUCUGUACCUAGAGGCCAGUGCAGCUGUAAUGGCCCCGCUAUUGGCAGGUGAAGGAUGUGGUUUCUGGCGAUAAUAGCGCAAAAAUUCCCGAGAGCCAAGGGUUUUUGAUGAUAUUUUAUUAUCAGAACUUGUGGUUAUGAUGAGCUCUGAACCACCACUCCCAAGUUCCACAGUGUUGGCCAUAUCACCCGAGGUAGUCAGCUGUUUCCCAUCCUCGUCCACAUAACUGCUGCUAUAAUCAUAGAAUUCUUCUAACUCCACUUCUUCAUCAUCAUCACCAUCACCAUAAUGUACUUUACAAUGACUUUUAGCUACCAUAUGUUUCCUAACUGCUUCUAAGCUGUUAAAAGGAUGGCAUCUAUCAUUGCAGUACAAACA
rnacentral:misc_RNA from 1 species